UCCAAUACAUCCUAAUUGUGGGCUUUUUAACUAUGCCCAUUAACAUUGUCAGUGCCCAGAAUUGUUUAAUUUCUGGCACACUGGUUGGGUACCAUCUCUCUGUCCUGGCGAUUCGGGAGUCUUGGUUAUGUACAAGAUACUGCUCCGCAUACAGAUUCGUCUGGGUAACUACCUCCCCAAAAAAAUCAUCCCCCAAAAAUAGCUCCAUACAAUCCAGCGCAUUAUAGCCAGACAGGUCAGCCUGUAUGCCAGGAUUGGCAGUGAACACUGGGAUGUCUGGCGAAAAAUGAUUAG